rnacentral:rRNA from 1 species
GACGAACGCUGGCGGCGUGCCUAAUACAUGCAAGUUGAGCGCUGAAGGUUGGUACUUGUACCGACUGGAUGAGCAGCGAACGGGUGAGUAACGCGUGGGGAAUCUGCCUUUGAGCGGGGGACAACAUUUGGAAACGAAUGCUAAUACCGCAUAAAAACUUUAAACACAAGUUUUAAGUUUGAAAGAUGCAAUUGCCUCACUCAAAGAUGAUCCCGCGUUGUAUUAGCUAGUUGGUGAGGUAAAGGCUCACCAAGGCGAUGAUACAUAGCCGACCUGAGAGGGUGAUCGGCCACAUUGGGACUGAGACACGGCCCAAACUCCUACGGGAGGCAGCAGUAGGGAAUCUUCGGCAAUGGACGAAAGUCUGACCGAGCAACGCCGCGUGAGUGAAGAAGGUUUUCGGAUCGUAAAACUCUGUUGGUAGAGAAGAACGUUGGUGAGAGUGGAAAGCUCAUCAAGUGACGGUAACUACCCAGAAAGGGACGGCUAACUACGUG